rnacentral:rRNA from 1 species
AUUGAACGCUGGCGGCAUGCCUUACACAUGCAAGUCGAACGGCAGCACGGGAGCAAUCCUGGUGGCGAGUGGCGAACGGGUGAGUAAUAUAUCGGAACGUGCCCAGUCGUGGGGGAUAACGCAGCGAAAGCUGUGCUAAUACCGCAUACGAUCUACGGAUGAAAGCGGGGGAUCGCAAGACCUCGCGCGAUUGGAGCGGCCGAUAUCAGAUUAGCUAGUUGGUGGGGUAAAGGCCCACCAAGGCGACGAUCGGUAGCUGGUCUGAGAGGACGACGAGACACACUGGAACUGCGCCAAGGUCCAGACUCAUACGGGAGGCAGCAGUGGGGAAUUUUGGACAAUGGGAGCAAGCCUGAGCCAGCAAUGCCGAGUGCAGGAUGAAGGCCUUCGGGUUGUAAACUGCUUUUGUACGGAACGAAACGGCCCUUUCUAAUACAGGGGGCUAAUGACGGUACCGUAAGAAUAAGCACCGGCUAACUACGUGCCAGCCGCCGCCGUAACAC